rnacentral:rRNA from 1 species
CCCUUAGAUGUUCUGGGCCGCACGCGCGCUACACUGAGCCCUUCAUCGAGUUUACAACCUUGGCCGGUAGGUCUGGGUAAUCUUCUCAAAGGGGCUCGUGCUGGGGAUAGAUUAUUGUAAUUUUUAAUCUUCAACGAGGAAUUCCUAGUAAACGCAAGUCAACAGCUUGCAUUGAUUACGUCCCUGCCCUUUGUACACACCGCCCGUCGCUACUACCGAUUGAAUGGCUUAGUGAGCCCGAGGGACUGUUGCACCUAGAGGGUUUUCUCUCCAGGAGCGGCCGGGAACUCGGUCAAACUUGAUCAUUUAGAGGAAGUAAAAGUCGUAACA